rnacentral:tRNA from 1 species
AGCCUCGUGGUGUAGUGGCCAAUCAUAGCGGGUUUUGGUCCCGCCGACCUGGGUUCAAAUCCUGGCGAGGCUA